rnacentral:lncRNA from 1 species
UCUUCUUCACAUUACACACACUCACAUACGAAACAGAGGGCUGAUAGGUAUAUACAAAGAAUCAACGCCCUCCCAUCGUCACUCUGAACACACGAAAAACACACACAAAAACAUGGAAAAUAGGCCAUAGAAAUACCAUUUUUUUUUUACUUUCUUUCUCCUUUCUUUCGCAACACACGCAUACAUACACAAAAAUCGCACACACAUCUCCCUCAAAAUCACAAGCCACGCCCUCAAAUAUCAUCGAAAACACAGGUUUCGUGAGUGGGUCACUUUUUCCGGCGACAUACUCAUCGGAAUCGUGUCAAAGUCGUCGCUAACACCUCCAAACUCGUCAGAAUCCGGUCUGAGUUUCUCUUUCUUAUGAUUUUAGCUCAGUUUAUACUGGUUUUUAGUUUCUAUUGAAUAUUGGAGUGUUGGGGUUCUCUCGUUUUGCAUUUUCAUCAUCGACAUCAGGCCGGGGUCUGACUGUUUUGGUUUGUUUUGGUUGUUGUUCGCUCACCAGAGUGCAGUUUCGAUCGGGGUCAGUUGUCUAUCUAAUUUUAAAGGUGGUUCGAGUUUGUCUGUUUUGGGGAAUUAUUAUUGAUAUCGUGUUUUGGAUCUUUCGAGACAAAGUCGAGUUAAUAUUCGGUUUUGAGUUUCAUUUUGUUGUUUUCUUAUUGGUUUGAAAUCUGUUCGGAUGGCGAUUGCAGGAGACUGAUUGAUUUUGUUCUUUGUUGGGGUUCUCGGUUUGAGGAUUUUGGAUUUUGAAAUUUCCCUAUUAUCGACGAAAGCAAUUUGUCGAGGUCCAUUUCUUUAACUUGUUUCCUUUUCUUUUUUUGAUGGAUUGAAUUGGCUAAAUAUGUGCUUUAUUGAUUAUGUUUGUUUGAUUUCGUUGAUGUUCGUGCAUCUGAUGAUGGAAUAUUGAAUUAUGAUUGAUUUGUUGUUUAAAUUUCGUUUAUAAAAUUGAUUAAAGAUGAUUGAAUUUGUAAUUGUGAAUCAUGGGAAUUUGGUAUUAAGAGUGAAUUUGGGGGUGGAGUUGCGAGAUUGAUAAAAAUGGACGAAUUUAGAUCAAUUUGAAUUAAUGUUGGUUUUGUUAUUGUUUUGUUCACUUCAGAAUCAAUAUCAAGUUUGUGAACACAAUAGGAGCAUAUUUUAGGCCGAAAGCUUAAUAGGCAAAGCGUAGGUCGGGUAGGCAAAUCUAGAGAUUGUGGACGGAUGGAAUGUUUGAGGUGUGUGUUGAAAUGGUUUGUUUUAUCGCAUUCGUCUCAAUUGUACUUAUUUAGCCGAGGAAUGCCCUAGUUCAUUUGUACUUAUUUACCGGGGAAUACUCCGAUGUACCAUGUAUGCAAAGG